UAUUGAGAAGGUGCAUUAUGGCAUUUACGCCUGGCUUGGCAGUAUCUGCAGGACACCUAUAGUCGAUGGGGGUUGGACAUCGGCCUGUGUGCACAUAGUAGCCUUCUGGGUGGGCAGAACCCAGUCCCUUUCUAGGGGGGACACGGCCCUAGGCGUAGGAUCGGCCAAUCCUAUGACUUAUAUUCUGCUUGCCGACGGGCAUAGUAAGACCCCGCGAGGUGCAGUAUGGCUUUCCGCGGAUGUAGAAUUCCCGCGAGGUGCCGUAUAGUAUAUAGAUGUGAGAUAUUUCUAUGAAUUUCUGUUCUAGAUACUGGCCAGCAUUUACAUUAUCAGUAUGGUGUCUUAUCCUGCAUAUGCAUGUGACAGUAGGAAGUUGUUGUGGUUCGCCUGGGGCGUAAAACCCACCUCCCGAUAACUGUCUGGUGAUGACUUAGCAUAUUGACACCCGAUUUGCAUAUUUCAGUGUUAUGAUCUAUUGAGCGUAUUCAUGAUGUAUCAUUCAUGUUUAUUUGAUUAUUCUAUAUAUGAUCCCGAUGAGUUGAUUAUGAUUGUGGCGAUACGGUGAUGAUUUACUCCAUAUUUCUUAUGUUGAGUUGUGUGCACCCUGUUAUUGAUGACUGCUCAUAUACUCUUGAGAUUUCACCUCAAGCCAUAAUUGUAUCUUGUCUUAUGUGCAUAGUACUCUCUACUCCACUCACUGAGUAUCCAUAUACUCACUACCCAGUUUGGUGUUUUUGAUUGCAUGGCAGGUGUUGUAUAGAGAGGAGCAGGAUUAGAAAUUGCCUGCUAGCUGUACCGCUCCAUAGUAUAAUAUAGAUAAAGGUUUAUACUUUAUACAUUUUGGUGCAUUAUAAACUUUCUGUUGUAUAUAGCGUAUAGUUACAGUCAUAGAUCCUGUUGUGGAUAUGGGUUUGACCAUGGAUGGAAUGGAAACCAGAUUUUUAUACAGAUGAGUUAUAUGCCUGAGAUGAUGUAUUGAUAUAUAUUGUCCAGGUUCAUUAUGUGACAGAUUAUGUAAUUACUGCUCUGACAGGUAGUAUUGUUGUAUGUAUUGAGAUAAUCCUGACAGGUC
rnacentral:lncRNA from 1 species